GGGUCUCAAGGAGAUAACGGAUUCUUUAGUGUCGGAAAAUGCCAUUAGGUUUAUAACUGAUGGUACUAUGCAAGAAGGUAUUGAGAGGUUGGAUGACCGGCCCAGGACCUUGAUGAGGACGACUUCGACCAAGUGUUGAUUCAAAUGUUUUGUAAAGACCAUUUUCGGCAUGCCCUUGGUGGAAGAAUCAUCAUGAAUGUUCAAUAAGAAGCAUUGUCGAUCAUAUAUAUAUUUACACUGUUAAUUUUUUUUUUUAUUGUUUCAAACCUAAGUAUGGGGUGAUUGUUUUGUCAGUCGUGAUUCCUUGUCCAUGUACUUGUGUGACUGGUUCUCUUAUAUUGUUCAAGUUUGAUCUACAUGUUGAACAU